rnacentral:rRNA from 1 species
AACGCUAGCUACAGGCUUAACACAUGCAAGUCGAGGGGCAGCAUGGUCUUAGCUUGCUAAGGCCGAUGGCGACCGGCGCACGGGUGAGUAACACGUAUCCAACCUGCCGUCUACUCUUGGACAGCCUUCUGAAAGGAAGAUUAAUACAAGAUGGCAUCAUGAGUCCGCAUGUUCACAUGAUUAAAGGUAUUCCGGUAGACGAUGGGGAUGCGUUCCAUUAGAUAGUAGGCGGGGUAACGGCCCACCUAGUCUUCGAUGGAUAGGGGUUCUGAGAGGAAGGUCCCCCACAUUGGAACUGAGACACGGUCCAAACUCCUACGGGAGGCAGCAGUGAGGAAUAUUGGUCAAUGGGCGAGAGCCUGAACCAGCCAAGUAGCGUGAAGGAUGACUGCCCUAUGGGUUGUAAACUUCUUUUAUAAAGGAAUAAAGUCGGGUAUGGAUACCCGUUUGCAUGUACUUUAUGAAUAAGGAUCGGCUAACUCCGUGCCAGCAGCCGCGGUAAUACGGAGGAUCCGAGCGUUAUCCGGAUUUAUUGGGUUUAAAGGGAGCGUACAUGGAUGUUUAAGUCAGUUGUGAAAGUUUGCGGCUCAACCGUAAAAUUGCAGUUGAUACUGGAUAUCUUGAGUGCAGUUGAGGCAGGCGGAAUUCGUGGUGUAGCGGUGAAAUGCUUAGAUAUCACGAAGAACUCCGAUUGCGAAGGCAGCCUGCUAAGUUGCAACUGACAUUGAGGCUCGAAAGUGUGGGGUAUCAAACAGGAUUAGAUACCCUGGUAGUCCACACGGUAAACGAUGAAUACUCGCUGUUUGCGAUAUACAGCAAGCGGCCAAGCGAAAGCGUUAAGUAUUCCACCUGGGGAGUACGCCGGCAACGGUGAAACUCAAAGGAAUUGACGGGGGCCCGCACAAGCGGAGGAACAUGUGGUUUAAUUCGAUGAUACGCGAGGAACCUUACCCGGGCUUAAAUUGCAGAUGAAUUACGGUGAAAGCCGUAAGCCGCAAGGCAUCUGUGAAGGUGCUGCAUGGUUGUCGUCAGCUCGUGCCGUGAGGUGUCGGCUUAAGUGCCAUAACGAGCGCAACCCUUGUUGUCAGUUACUAACAGGUUCCGCUGAGGACUCUGACAAGACUGCCAUCGUAAGAUGUGAGGAAGGUGGGGAUGACGUCAAAUCAGCACGGCCCUUACGUCCGGGGCUACACACGUGUUACAAUGGGGGGUACAGAGGGCCGCUACCACGCGAGUGGAUGCCAAUCCCAAAAACCUCUCUCAGUUCGGACUGGAGUCUGCAACCCGACUCCACGAAGCUGGAUUCGCUAGUAAUCGCGCAUCAGCCACGGCGCGGUGAAUACGUUCCCGGGCCUUGUACACACCGCCCGUCAAGCCAUGGGAGCCGGGGGUACAAGAAGUGCGUAACCGCGAGGAGCGCCCUAGGGUAAAACUA